GUGAAAGAUUCCAGAUUGAAAUUCUGUUCAUCCCCAGAACAAAUAUAGCACAUGCACCCAGAGCAAGCUUUCUGACAUCACAGCCACCCACAGGCCUCAGCCCUACCCUGGAGUUCAGUCUCCAUGGCCUAUUCAGAUCUUGGCCUUU
rnacentral:sRNA from 1 species